UGAAUUAAAAAGGCGCCAGGACAGAUUUUUAUAAGUCUGUUGACGAGGAGAAGGAAGCGAUGCACUAAUUAACGUGUGUCGUAUCGAAAGAUUCGGCGGAUACCUUCCGGCUGUUACGGUCGAGAGAGACAAAACAAAACUUGCAGGCGACUGCAAGAACAAAAUGGUCUCAUGUAGCUAA
rnacentral:ncRNA from 2 species